rnacentral:rRNA from 1 species
GUGGGGAAUUUUGGACAAUGGGGGAAACCCUGAUCCAGCAAUGCCGCGUGUGUGAAGAAGGCCUUCGGGUUGUAAAGCACUUUUGUCCGGAAAGAAAACUUCUGCCCUAAUACGGUGGGAGGAUGACGGUACCGGAAGAAUAAGCACCGGCUAACUACGUGCCAGCAGCCGCGGUAAUACGUAGGGUGCGAGCGUUAAUCGGAAUUACUGGGCGUAAAGCGUGCGCAGGCGGUUCGUUAAGACAGAUGUGAAAUCCCCGGGCUUAACCUGGGAACUGCAUUUGUGACUGGCGAGCUAGAGUAUGGCAGAGGGGGGUAGAAUUCCACGUGUAGCAGUGAAAUGCGUAGAGAUGUGGAGGAAUACCGAUGGCGAAGGCAGCCCCCUGGGCCAAUACUGACGCUCAUGCACGAAAGCGUGGGGAGCAAACAGGAUUAGAUACCCUUGUAGUCC